GAUGAACGCUGGCGGCGUGCUUAACACAUGCAAGUCGAACGAUGAAGCCCAGCUUGCUGGGUGGAUUAGUGGCGAACGGGUGAGUAACACGUGAGUAACCUGCCCUUAACUCUGGGAUAAGCCUGGGAAACUGGGUCUAAUACCGGAUAGGAGCGCCUACCGCAUGGUGGGUGUUGGAAAGAUUUAUCGGCUUUGGAUGGACUCGCGGCCUAUCAGCUUGUUGGUGAGGUAAUGGCUCACCAAGGCGACGACGGGUAGCCGGCCUGAGAGGGUGACCGGCCACACUGGGACUGAGACACGGCCCAGACUCCUACGGGAGGCAGCAGUGGGGAAUAUUGCACAAUGGGCGAAAGCCUGAUGCAGCGACGCCGCGUGAGGGAUGACGGCCUUCGGGUUGUAAACCUCUUUCAGUAGGGAAGAAGCGAAAGUGACGGUACCUGCAGAAGAAGCACCGGCUAACUACGUG
rnacentral:rRNA from 1 species